ACCUGGUUGAUCCUGCCAGUAGUCANAUGCUUAUCUCAAAGAUUAAGCCAUGCAUGUCUAAGUACACAGACUCGUACUCUAAAACCGCGGAUGGCUCAUUAUAACAGCUAUGAUUUGAGAGAAAUGAACUUUAUUGCCACAAGAUAACUGUGGUAAUUCUAGAGCUAAUAUUUACAAUGUNGCCGUGACUCACGAAGCGGCGGAUUUAUUAGUUUCAAAAUCAACCUGCUGUAACAGGCGGUAAUUUGAUGACUCUGGAUAACUUUACUGAUCGUACAACCUCGUGUUGACGACGAAUCUCUUGAAAUGGCUGACCUAUCANCUUUCGAUGGUAAGAUCAAAGCUUACCAUGGUUGUAACGGUAACGGGGAAUCAGCUGUUCGAUUCCGGAGAGGGAGCCUGAGAAACGGCUACCACAUCCACGGAAAGNCAGCAGGCGCGUAAAUNACCCAAUACCGGCUCGGUGAGGUAGUGACAAAAAAUAACAAUAUGGUCCCUANUGGAUUCAUAAUNGCAAUGAGAAAAUUUUAAAUACUUUAUCAAGUAUCAAUUGGAGGGCAAGUCUGGUNCCAGCAGCCGCGGUAAUUCCAGCUCCAAAAGCGUAUAUUANAGUUGUUGCAGUUAAAAAGCUCGUAGUUGAAAUUCGGGAANAACAUGGUUAUUCGAUCUCUGAUUGAUGACUGUGUUGUCCUUCAUCGUCGUGUAUAUGUUAUUGGUACUUCACUGUAUCGGUUUCGUAACCGACAAGUUUACUUUGAAAAAAUUAGAGUGCUUAAAGCAGGCUUAUGCUUGUAUAUUGUUGCAUGGAAUAAUGAAAUAGGACUUCGGUUUUAUUUUGUUGGUUUUCUUAACUGAAGUAAUGAUUAAAAGAGACUGCCGGGGGCAUAUGUAUGCUGGUGUUAGAGGUGAAAUUCUUAGAUCAUCAGCAGACAAACUACUGCGAAAGCAUUUGCCAAGAAUGUUUUCAUUAAUCAAGAACGAAAGUCAGAGGAUCGAAGACGAUCAGAUACCGUCCUAGUUCUGACCAUAAACUAUGCCAACUGACAGUUAGUUAAGGUGAUUCAAUAUCCUUGCUAGAAGUCACCGGGAAACCAAAGUCUAUGGGUUCCGGGGGAAGUAUGGUUGCAAAGCUGAAACUUAAAGGAAUUGACGGAAGGGCACCACCAGGAGUGGAGCCUGCGGCUUAAUUUGACUCAACACGGGAAAUCUCACCCGGUCCGGACACUGUGAGGAUUGACAGAUUGAUAGCUCUUUCAUGAUUUGGUGGGUGGUGGUGCAUGGCCGUUCUUAGUUGGUGGAGCGAUUUGUCUGGUUAAUUCCGAUAACGAACGAGACUCUGACCUGCUAACUAGUACAUUUGUGUUUAAAUCGCAAGUGCUGACUUCUUAGAGGAAUAAAUAGCGUUUAGCUANAAUGAAAUUGAGCAAUAACAGGUCUGUGAUGCCNUUAGAUGUCCGGGGCCGCACGCGCGCUACAAUGGCAGUAACAGCGAGUUUUAUUCCUAGUUAGAAAUGACCGGGUAACCUGCUGAAACNCUGUCGUAUCGGGAAUAGUGGUUUGAAAUUUUCCCACUUAAACGNGGAAUUCCNAGUAAGCGCAAGUCAUUAACUUGCGCUGANUACGUCCCUGCCCUUUGUACACACCGCCCGUCGCUACUACCGAUUGAAUGGUUUAGUGAGAUUGUUGGAUUCUGAGCUAAGAAAUGGCAACGUUUCUAUGAAUGGGAAAAGACACUCAAACUUGAUCAUUUAGAGGAAGUAAAAGUCGUAACANGGUUUCCCUAGGUGAACCUGCGNAA
rnacentral:rRNA from 1 species